GACGAACGCUGGCGGCGUGCCUAAUACAUGCAAGUAGAACGCACAGUUUAUACCGUAGCUUGCUACACCAUAGACUGUGAGUUGCGAACGGGUGAGUAACGCGUAGGUAACCUGCCUGGUAGCGGGGGAUAACUAUUGGAAACGAUAGCUAAUACCGCAUAAUAUUAAUUAUUGCAUGAUAAUUAAUUGAAAGGUGCAAUUGCACCACUACCAGGUGGACCUGCGUUGUAUUAGCUAGUAGGUGAGGUAACGGCUCACCUAGGCGACGAUACAUAGCCGACCUGAGAGGGUGAUCGGCCACACUGGGACUGAGACACGGCCCAGACUCCUACGGGAGGCAGCAGUAGGGAAUCUUCGGCAAUGGACGAAAGUCUGACCGAGCAACGCCGCGGGAGUGAAGAAGGUUUUCGGAUCGUAAAGCUCUGUUGUAAGAGAAGAACGGGUGUGAGAGUGGAAAGUUCACACUGUGACGGUAUCUUACCAGAAAGGGACGGCUAACUACGUG
rnacentral:rRNA from 1 species